AGUGAACGCUGGCGGUAGGCCUAACACAUGCAAGUUGAACGGCAGCACAGUAAGAGCUUGCUCUUACGGGUGGCGAGUGGCGGACGGGUGAGGAAUACAUCGGAAUCUACUUUUUCGUGGGGGAUAACGUAGGGAAACUUACGCUAAUACCGCAUACGACCUACGGGUGAAAGCAGGGGAUCUUCGGACCUUGCGCGAUUGAAUGAGCCGAUGUCGGAUUAGCUAGUUGGCGGGGUAAAGGCCCACCAAGGCGACGAUCCGUAGCUGGUCUGAGAGGAUGAUCAGCCGCACUGGAACUGAGACACGGUCCAGACUCCUACGGGAGGCAGCAGUGGGGAAUAUUGGACAAUGGGCGCAAGCCUGAUCCAGCCAUACCGCGUGGGUGAAGAAGGCCUUCGGGUUGUAAAGCCCUUUUGUUGGGAAAGAAAAGCAGCAGGUUAAUACCCCGCUGUUCUGACGGUACCCAAAGAAUAAGCACCGGCUAACUUCGUG
rnacentral:rRNA from 1 species